AUAAAAGACUCUCGGCAACGGAUAUCUCGGCUCACGCAUCGAUGAAGAACGUAGCAAAAUGCGAUACUUGGUGUGAAUUGCAGAAUCCCGUGAACCAUCGAGUUUUUGAACGCAAGUUGCGCCCGAAGCCUUUUGGCUGAGGGCACGUCUGCCUGGGCGUCACAC
rnacentral:rRNA from 2 species